CUCUCGCCUGGCUGGCCGUGGGGGGCCUGGACGCAGUGGCCUCCCGAAUCUCCCAGGACCCUAAUAUCGCCCGAGGAUGCUGGGAGGAACGCUGAGCCGACCUCUCCGUUAGGCUGAAGAUUGCACAAACCAUGCUAAUGGCCAGCAUGGAUGGAGGGAGCGUGUGAGAUGUGUGGGGCAGCGUGCUGCAUCUCAGCCAACUCCAGGAGGAAGCAUGCUCAUGGCAAUACCCGGAGUCUCCACUGCAAGACCAGAGUGACGGAGGCAGCAGAGCUCCUCAGCAGGCCAGGAGUCUCCAGAGGCACUGCCGAAUGUCUAAGAAGCAACCUCAUUGUAUUCCCAAGACCUGGGAAUCCAGGUCUCGCAGAUACGAUGAUACAAUCUAUAGCCAGGACAUCUCUUCAUGUGUAGUUUUCAAUGAAUACUAGGAUAAGCAACUAUCCCAGUCUUCCCAGGAUUGAGGGGCUUCUCCAGAUGCUGCACUUCUGGUGCUAAAAAUGAGAAACUGAAAUGAAUUAGUCACCCAAGGAAUGCUGACCCUGUGCUAUAUGAUCACAUUUACUCUUUAAAGCAAUGCUUUGAGAACAAUUGAGCUGCAUAGUCCCUGCAAUCUUAUAAAGGCAUUUGGCCUGGAAGAUGCUCUGCAGCCAUGUGCCAAGAAUAACGGCUAUAGGGACAAUGUUUCAUUAACCCCAAAGCAGCAACCUGAACCUCUUACUGUACAAUAUCUGCUCCGUUCAGAAUUAGCUCGACUUGAGUCACAGGAUGAAGCUUACCAAAAGGAAUUUCCACGUCCAAGGAAGGAACCAAGAUCACUGAGAGGUUAUAGUAUGAAAAGUGAAGAGAAAAAACCUAUUCUAAACAUUUUAUUAAUUGUCAAUAAUUAUUUUAAAAUAUUUAAUAUAGUCUCCUACCUGGUCCACUGGCAUCAAGCUGCCAAAUUUACACGGUCACUUUGGGAAGCCAGCUGGCAGGCAAACAUGGAAAGUGCUGGCUCCUAGCGUAGUGAGAAGACCACAGAUAGAUGGUAAUUUUCUUCUUUGUUUUAUUUUUCUUUUUCUUCUCUCCCUCUUUUUCUUCCCUCUUGCCUUUCCCUCCCAUUGCCCACUUUCUUUUUUUGGCUGCCGAAGAUUUAUUGCCUUUCAGUACUUAUAGAUGAUGUUUUCAUAAGUUCUAAUGAGGUCCCAGCAGUUUUUAACAAUAACAGGACAUUACUGUUCCUAAGAUAUAUUAUGUGUUUUCCCUCAUCUUUCUCCCUUGAAUGAAAUGCUUAGAAGUAGGCUAACCCCCAAUUCCCUUCCCUUUACUAUGAUAAAUGGCUCCAUUACUUAAUAGGGCUAAAUACUCUGCUGUGACUUUUAUACUGCUGAUUUGAAUAAAAUCUUACGAAAAGC
rnacentral:lncRNA from 1 species